CCCUUUGGUUAUCUGGCUGUAUGAGUGAGCCAUAACAUCAUAAAGCUAGGUUACCAAAGCU
rfam:Ascaris suum AG00820, whole genome shotgun sequence.